GGUUGAGUAACAUCAACUGGAGGACCGAACCGACUAAUGUUGAAAAAUUAGCGGAUGACUUGUGGCUAGGGGUGAAAGGCCAAUCAAACUCGGAGAUAGCUGGUUCUCCCCGAAAGCUAUUUAGGUAGCGCCUCGGACGAAUACUACUGGGGGUAGAGCACUGUUAAGGCUAGGGGGUCAUCCCGACUUACCAACCCUUUGCAAACUCCGAAUACCAGUAAGUACUAUCCGGGAGACACACGGCGGGUGCUAACGUCCGUCGUGGAGAGGGAAACAACCCAGACCGCCAGCUAAGGUCCCAAAUUACUACUAAGUGGGAAACGAUGUGGGAAGGCUCAGACAGCCAGGAUGUUGGCUUAGAAGCAGCCAUCAUUUAAAGAAAGCGUAAUAGCUCACUGGUCGAGUCGGCCUGCGCGGAAGAUGUAACGGGGCUAAGUAGUAAACCGAAGCUGCGGCAAUACAGUUUACUGUAUUGGGUAGGGGAGCGUUCUGUAAGCCGUUGAAGGUGUGUUGUAAAGCAUGCUGGAGGUAUCAGAAGUGCGAAUGCUGACAUGAGUAACGAUAAGGGGGGUGAAAAACCUCCCCGCCGGAAGACCAAGGGUUCCUGUCCAACGUUAAUCGGGGCAGGGUAAGUCGACCCCUAAGGCGAGGCUGAAAAGCGUAGUCGAUGGGAAACGGGUUAAUAUUCCCGUACUGCUUAUAAUUGCGAUGGGGGGACGGAGAAGGCUAGGUGGGCCAGGCGACGGUUGUCCUGGUUCAAGUGCGUAGGCUAAGAGACUAGGUAAAUCCGGUUUCUUGUUAGGCUGAGACACGACGUCGAGCUGCUACGGCAGUGAAGUCAUUGAUGCCCUGCUUCCAGGAAAAGCCUCUAAGCUUCAGAUUAUAAGCAAUCGUACCCCAAACCGACACAGGUGGUCGGGUAGAGAAUACCAAGGCGCUUGAGAGAACUCGGGUGAAGGAACUAGGCAAAAUGGUACCGUAACUUCGGGAGAAGGUACGCUCUUAUUGGUGAAGUCCCUCGCGGAUGGAGCUGACGAGAGUCGCAGAUACCAGGUGGCUGCAACUGUUUAUUAAAAACACAGCACUGUGCAAAAUCGCAAGAUGACGUAUACGGUGUGACGCCUGCCCGGUGCCGGAAGGUUAAUUGAUGGGGUUAGACUUAGGUCGAAGCUCUUGAUCGAAGCCCCGGUAAACGGCGGCCGUAACUAUAACGGUCCUAAGGUAGCGAAAUUCCUUGUCGGGUAAGUUCCGACCUGCACGAAUGGCGUAAUGAUGGCCACGCUGUCUCCACCCGAGACUCAGUGAAAUUGAAAUCGCUGUGAAGAUGCAGUGUACCCGCGGCUAGACGGAAAGACCCCGUGAACCUUUACUACAGCUUGGCACUGAACAUUGAACCUACAUGUGUAGGAUAGGUGGGAGACUUAGAAGCGCAGUCGCUAGAUUGCGUGGAGUCGACCUUGAAAUACCACCCUUGUCGUUUUGAUGUUCUAACGUAGGCCCCUCAUCGGGGUUGCGGACAGUGCCUGGUGGGUAGUUUGACUGGGGCGGUCUCCUCCCAAAGAGUAACGGAGGAGCACGAAGGUGGGCUAAUCACGGUUGGACAUCGUGAGGUUAGUGCAAUGGCAUAAGCCCGCUUAACUGCGAGAAUGACGGUUCGAGCAGGUACGAAAGUAGGUCAUAGUGAUCCGGUGGUUCUGAAUGGAAGGGCCAUCGCUCAACGGAUAAAAGGUACUCCGGGGAUAACAGGCUGAUACCGCCCAAGAGUUCAUAUCGACGGCGGUGUUUGGCACCUCGAUGUCGGCUCAUCACAUCCUGGGGCUGAAGUCGGUCCCAAGGGUAUGGCUGUUCGCCAUUUAAAGUGGUACGCGAGCUGGGUUUAGAACGUCGUGAGACAGUUCGGUCCCUAUCUGCCGUGGGCGUUGGAAGAUUGAAGGGGGCUGCUCCUAGUACGAGAGGACCGGAGUGGACGAACCGCUGGUGUUCGGGUUGUCAUGCCAAUGGCAUUGCCCGGUAGCUAAGUUCGGAAUUGAUAAGCGCUGAAAGCAUCUAAGCGCGAAGCGAGCCCUGAGAUGAGUCUUCCCUGGCACUUUAAGUGUCCUAAAGGGUUGUUCGAGACUAGAACGUUGAUAGGUUGGGUGUGUAAGCGCUGCGAGGCGUUGAGCUAACCAAUACUAAUUGCCCGUGAGGCUUAACC
rnacentral:rRNA from 1 species